UACAGAUGUUUAUGGGCAGGCAAUUACAGGUAGAGGUGUCUAUGGGCAGGUAAUUAUAGACAGAGGUGUCUAUGGACAUGUAAUUACAGGUAGAAGUGUCUAUGAGCAGGCAAUUACAGGUAAAGGUGUCUAUGGGCAGGCAAUUGUAGGUAGAGGUGUCUAUGGGCAAGUAAUUACAGGUAGUGGUGUUUAUAGGUAGGUAAUUAUAGGUAGAGGUAUCUAUGGACAUGUAAUUACAGGUAGAUGUGUCUCUGGAUAGGAAAUUACAGGUAGUGAUGUAUAUGGACAGGUAAGUAUAGAUUGAGGUGUCUAUGGGCAGGCAAUUACAGGUAGUGGU